rnacentral:misc_RNA from 1 species
CUGAGAUUGACCCUCUGGGUUGGUACUCUCCACACCAUGUUGUCAUACCUGUUGCUUCGGCGGGACGUUGGUUUUGGCCACCGUCGGCGUCAGCGGACGAGCGCCCGCCGAAGGUUUUACACUCUUGAUUUAUGAAGUCCGAGAAAAAUACAAAAUGAACA